rnacentral:rRNA from 1 species
CAUGUGUAAGUACUAGCCAAAACUAAAAUGGUGAAACCGCGAAAAGCUCAUUAAAUCGGCUUUGGUUCCUUAGAUAGUAAGCAGAAAUGAUUUUUCAAAAAUUAAAUGUAAAUUUGAUUUUGAAAAAAAAAAUUCUGACAUUGGAUAACUGUGGUAAUUCUAGAGCUAAUACAUGAAAAUUAAAUCAGUGUGAAAUUUUUUUGUAAAAGAAAAAUAUUUUACACGCUUUUAUUAGAGGAAAAAGCCAAUUUAAAAUAAUUUUUUUCUUUAAAAAAUUAUUUAAUAUUAAUAAAAUAAAUUUAAAAUUUUGAAAAUUUUAAAUUUUUAAAGUGUUGAAUCUGAAUAACUUAAACAAAUUUCUAUAAAAAGUGUGUAAUUAAUAUUUUUAAGUAACAAUUAUGUUAUUUUUGAAAAUGUUAAUUAUGUUUUUUUAUAUAUAGAAAUUUAAAGCUGACCGCAACAAUAUGCUUUUUAAAAAAAUUUUUAUAAUGAAAAUUUUUUCAAAUAGUAUUGCGGCGUAUCUUUCAAUUGUCUGCCUUAUCAACUUUCGAUGGUAGGUUACAUGCCUACCAUGGUUAUAACGGGUAACGGAGAAUCAGGGUUCGAUUCCGGAGAGGGAGCCUGAGAAACGGCUACCACAUCUAAGGAAGGCAGCAGGCACGCAAAUUACCCACUCCCGGCUCGGGGAGGUAGUGACGAUAAAUAACGAUACGGAACUCUUAUGAGUUUCCGUGAUCGGAAUGAGUGUAAUUUAAAUCCUUAUACGAGGAGCAAAUGGAGGGCAAGUCUGGUGCCAGCAGCCGCGGUAAUUCCAGCUCCAUUAGCAUAUAUUAAAGUUGUUGCGUUUAAAAAGCUCGUAGUCGAAUCUGUAUCUCGGCGUGUCAAUCGUUUAGUAAUUUAAAUAUUGCUAAAUUUGAUUUGACAAAUUUCGCAUGAGAUAUAAAUAUUGGUGGAUUUUUAAGUAAUUAUAUUUAUAAAAAAAAUUUUAUUAAUUUUUUUUAUAUUUAUAUAAUUAUUAAAUUCGAUACAAAAUAAAUUUUUUUAUUAAUAUAAAUUAUUUAUAGAAAAAGUGAUUUUUUUUUGCUUAAUAUUGAAAAAAUUUUAAGUAUUUUAAAAAAAAGUUAGUCAAUUUUAAUUAAUUUGAUUAAUAACUUUUUUAUUUUAAAUAAUUUAAUUAAUUAUCGUGAAAAUAUUUUGUAUUCUAAUUAAAAUUUAUAUUAAAUUUUAUUAUUUUAGACCAAUAAAAUUACUUUGAACAAAUUAGAGUGCUUAAAGCAGGCAAAAUUAAAUGCCUUGAAUAUAAACAGCAUGGAAUAAUAGAAUAUGAUCUCGAUACUGUUUUUUCUAAAUUGGCUUAAAGAAUAAAUAAUUUUUGAAAAAAUUUUAUUUUAGAAAAUAUAUUAAAUUUUUUUAAUUAAAAAUUUAAUUAUUUUCAUGAUAUAAAUAAAAUUAAAAAUAUUUAUUUCGACAGUGUAUUGAGAUAAUGAUCAAUAGAAACAGAUGGGGGCAUUCGUAUUACGACGUAAGAGGUGAAAUUCUUAGAUCGUCGUAAGACGAACUGAAGCGAAAGCGUUUGUCAAAAAUGUUUUCAUUGAUCAAGAACGAAAGUUAGAGGCUCGAAGACGAUUAGAUACCGUCCUAGUUCUAACCAUAAACUAUGCCGACUAGUGAUCCGUCGAUGUUCAUUUAAAUUGACUCGACGGGCAACUUCCGGGAAACCAAAGUUUUUAGGUUCCGGGGGAAGUAUGGUUGCAAAGCUGAAACUUAAAGGAAUUGACGGAAGGGCACCACCAGGAGUGGAGCUUGCGGCUUAAUUUGACUCAACACGGGAAAUCUCACCAGGCCCAGACACCGAAAGGAUUAACAGAUUAAUAGCUCUUUUUUAAUUCGGUGGGUGGUGGUGCAUGGCCGUUCUUAGUUGGUGGAGCGAUCUGUCUGGUUAAUUCCGAUAACGAACGAGAUUCUAACCUACUAACUAGACGUUAAAUGUUUUAUUAAACUUAAGAAAUUUUUAAAGAAAAUUUAUUUUAAAAAUUUAAAAAAAAAAACUCUUUUUUAUUAAUACAUUUUUGUAUUAUAAAAAAGAUGUAUUUUUUUUAAAUUUUUGGAGAUAAUUUUUUUUUAAGUUUUGUUUAGUAAGCAUUUUAUCCGAUAUUUUUGAAGUUGUUCAAUAAAAUAGUAAAUUUUUUUUUUUUUUAAAAUAAAAGUUUAAUAUUUUAUUGACUUUCGCUAUCGGCGUAUUUUAUAUUUUCUUCUUAGAGGGACAGGUGGAUUUUAUAAGCCACACGAGAAGGAGCAAUAACAGGUCUGUGAUGCCCUUAGAUGUUCUGGGCUGCACGCGUGCUACAAUGAAAAAAUCAACGUGUUAAUAAAAAAUUUUCUUUUCCGAUAGGAAUGGAUAAACCGUUGAAAAUUUUUCUUGUUUUGGAAUCGGGGAUUGAAAUUAUUYUCCGUGAACGAGGAAUUCCCAGUAAGCGUGAGUCAUAAGCUUGCGUUGAUUACGUCCCUGCCCUUUGUACACACCGCCCGUCGCUACUACCGAUUGAAUGAUUUAGUGAGGUYUUCGGACUGUCACACGAUUUAAACAUUUCGAUGUUAUCGUUGUUUUGAUAGAAAGAUGCCCAAACUUGAUUAUUUAGAGGAAGUAAAAGUCGUAACAAGGUUUCCGUAGGUGAACCUGCGGAAGGAUCAUUAA